ACACACGUUUUCAUUUCUAUACGAGGGAGAGCAUGAAGAGAAAGUGAAAGAUAGGCAAACUGCCAAGAUUACUUAAAAGCUCAAAAUCUGAACUGCGGUGGAAAAGCAGUCCUCUAAAAAUUCAGUUGUCCUAAAGAUCUCUGAACCUGAAGAAUAUGCCAUUGUGCCAAGCCACUGACAAGCAGUGCCCAAGCGUACAGACGAAAAGUUAAGGGGCAAGAAAAGAAAGUCAAGAAGUUAAUACAGAGAAGAGAGCAGGAAAAAAGAGGAAAAAGAUGGAAAAAUUCAGAGAGGAACGAAGAAGGACAGAGAGGAUCUACAAAAGGGUGUUCCACAUUAGAAAAAAAUGGAUUCUCUGUGUAUAUCCCAAUACAAAAGUUGGACAAACACACAAAGGCAAACAUCU